GCAGCAGCUCUUUGAUUCUCCUUUGCUCUAGGGUGUCGCAAAGCUCUGUUUACCACCUCUGCCCCCAGCCUCUGUAAAGCCUCUGCUGGCUCCUAGAGAGGUGAAGCCCAAUCCACCCAGCAAGCCUCUCCCGGCGCUGAAGAGCAAGGAGCUCGCCCGGCCCCGCUGUGCCGCAGGAGACGCACCAUUGCCGCCAGCUCCUCCUGCCAAGCCCGCAGCCCUGUCGUCCCAGGCCCGUCCAGACCCCGCCGUGCCCCAGGUGAGCUGCAC
rnacentral:lncRNA from 1 species